AUGCCGUCUCAUUUCAUUGCAGAUCCAUUUUCUGCCACCGAAUACAUUAGCAUGGGAUAAUGGAAUAGGACCCUGUCCUCCUAUUUUCAGUUGGUUUUGGCAGCGCGAGGACUAGGGUAAUGAUUAAUAGGGAUAGUUGGGGGCAUUAAUAUUUAAUUGUCAGAGGUGAAAUUCUUGGAUUUAUGAAAGAUUAACUUCUGCGAAAGCAUCUGCCAAGGAUGUUUUCAUUAAUCAAGAACGAAAGUUAGGGGAUCGAAGACGAUCAGAUACCGUCGUAGUCUUAACCAUAAACGAUGCCGACCAGCGAUUAGGAGACGUUGAAUACAAAACACCACCAUCGGUUGCGGUCGUCCUUGGCGUCUCGGUUUCGGCCGGGGCGCGGGGACGGUUUAGCCCGGUGGCACCGGUGAAUGACUCCCUAGCACUUUUGUGAGAA
rnacentral:rRNA from 1 species